GAUGAACGCUAGCGGCAGGCCUAAUACAUGCAAGUCGAACGGUAACAGGUCCAGCAAUGGACGCUGACGAGUGGCGCACGGGUGCGUAACGCGUAUGCAAUCUGCCUUUUACUGGGGGAUAGCCCGGAGAAAUCCGGAUUAACACCGCAUAAUAAGUUGAGUAGGCAUCUACUUAAUUUUAAAUCUACGGAGGUAAAAGAUGAGCAUGCGUCUGAUUAGUUAGUUGGGAGGUAAUGGCUCACCAAGACGAUGAUCAGUAGGGGUUCUGAGAGGAAGGUCCCCCACACUGGUAC
rnacentral:rRNA from 1 species